rnacentral:rRNA from 1 species
CACAUGCAAGUCGAACGGUAACAGGAAGCAGCUUGCUGCUUCGCUGACGAGUGGCGGACGGGUGAGUAAUGUCUGGGAAACUGCCUGAUGGAGGGGGAUAACUACUGGAAACGGUGGCUAAUACCGCAUAACGUCGCAAGACCAAAGAGGGGGACCUUCGGGCCUCUUGCCAUCAGAUGUGCCCAGAUGGGAUUAGCUAGUUGGUGAGGUAACGGCUCACCAAGGCGACGAUCCCUAGCUGGUCUGAGAGGAUGACCAGCCACACUGGAACUGAGACACGGUCCAGACUCCUACGGGAGGCAGCAGUGGGGAAUAUUGCACAAUGGGCGCAAGCCUGAUGCAGCCAUGCCGCGUGUAUGAAGAAGGCCUUCGGGUUGUAAAGUACUUUCAGCGGGGAGG